UACAGAGGUCCCAAGCGUUGUUCGGAUUUAUUGGGCGUAAAGGGUGCGUAGGCGGCGGAGUAAGUUGGGUGUGAAAUCCCGGGGCUCAACCUCGGAAUUGCCUUUGAUACAGCAAGUCUUGAGUUCGAGAGAGGUGGGUGGAAUUCCUAGUGUAGAGGUGAAAUUCGUAGAUAUUAGGAAGAACACCGGUGGCGAAGGCGGCCCACUGGCUCGAUACUGACGCUGAGGUGCGAAAGCGUGGGGAGCAAACAGGG
rnacentral:rRNA from 1 species